rnacentral:rRNA from 1 species
GACGAACGCUGGCGGCGUGCCUAAUACAUGCAAGUAGAACGCUGAAGGAGGAGCUUGCUUCUCUGGAUGAGUUGCGAACGGGUGAGUAACGCGUAGGUAACCUGCCUGGUAGCGGGGGAUAACUAUUGGAAACGAUAGCUAAUACCGCAUAAGAGUAGAUGUCGCAUGACAUUUGCUUAAAAGGUGCAAUUGCAUCACUACCAGAUGGACCUGCGUUGUAUUAGCUAGUUGGUGAGGUAACGGCUCACCAAGGCAACGAUGCAUAGCCGACCUGAGAGGGUGAUCGGCCACACUGGGACUGAGACACGGCCCAGACUCCUACGGGAGGCAGCAGUAGGGAAUCUUCGGCAAUGGACGGAAGUCUGACCGAGCAACGCCGCGUGAGUGAAGAAGGUUUUCGGAUCGUAAAGCUCUGUUGUAAGAGAAGAACGAGUGUGAGAGUGGAAAGUUCACACUGUGACGGUAUCUUACCAGAAAGGGACGGCUAACUACGUG